GGUCUUGUGGUCUAGUGGUAUGAUUCUCGCUUAGGGUUCACCCUAAAGCAUCUUGUUUGCGAGAGGCCCCGCGUUCGAGUCGCGGCAAGACCC